AGCACAGAUGCCAGCAACACUAGUUAGGGGGGUCUUCAGGACCAGUUCUGGUGAAGGGAGGCAGAUUACAGGGAAGGUUUUAAUGCGAAAAUGAAAGCAAGGGUGAGAGAAGAGAGAAACGGGGUUAGGAAAGGAAAGAGGGGAAUUAUACCUGUCUCAGGGUCUUCUCUUCCUCAGGGAUGGAUUUUGCAGUACAAGAAGUGGGAUUGUGUUGCCAAGACACUCACAAACAUGCUCACACAGCAGCUAGGAUGGAGGAAACAGCUCAGACCACUUUCUCCAAUACAAGUGAUUUCAGCCACAGCCUUUGUGAAGCAGGAACCUGCUCAUACAGCAAACACAUGAGGCUGAGCUUCUUGCUGGGAUAGGCCAAAGUCCAGCUCUUGUUGCAGAAAGGAAGUAGUGGACCCCAGGUCUUGUAAAAUUUUGAAGGUAGGAUGCAGGGGGGACUUUGGGGGGACCAAAGACCUGAGUUGAGCUCUUACAGUGAUAGAGUGGACCCUGGGCAAGCCAAAGACAUAUUGAACUUUGAUGGAGUCUCAGAUAUAGCAGUGGACCUUGAGAUGAACAAAGACAAUGAAUGGAGGCGGGCCCAGUGGCUUAGGAAGGGGGGAUGGGGGGCGGGCCGCCCUGGGCGGCACGUGGUCCUGGGUGGCACAUGCAGCUAGGUCCUUCUCUGCCUGCCCGGCACGCAAAGUUUUGCCGAAGUGCGAGCGAGAAGGAGAGCGCAGUGCCCAGCCAGCAGUCGUCAGGGUGGCAGCGGGGGUAGGAAGCUGCAGGGCAGGGCACCCUCGCUCGCACUCCUCUGCUGCCGCAUGGCCCCAGGCGGCAAAAAUCUUAGCUACGCCGCUGGGCGGGACACCUAUUCUUAUCUGUAAUUGCUGCGUUAGAUUUUGCAUCUUUCUCCCGACUAUCAGCAGAAAAUCUUCAUUCUCCUCAAUUUUGGGAGGCAUGGCGACAGCUUCUAGCAACAGCAGUCAAUUCACACCUCUGUCCCUGCUAUAAAGAACCAGAAAAGCGGGGAGAACUAAACUUUUAGCUCAGGAGAGCUGUUCACAUUUUCUUUGCUGCUUGCUGUUCAUCCCAGCCAAUCUUGGAGAAUGCAUUAAUGGCUCCUGCUGCUAUGAUCUCUCUCUGCGCGAAGGCCAACAGUUUACUGAACGUCAAUCCUGCAAAUUGAAUUUGGUGUUUGUUGGGUGUUUACACUGAAGCAAUAGUGAACAUUUUCUGCAGGAGCCUUUUUAUGAACAGAAAUCUGCUUUUAGUACCUUUCCGGAUUGCCUGGCAUUGGAAAGAACUAAGAGCAGAGAAAAGAAUCACAACACCUUGUGAUUGUGAUGAACCUGGGAGCAACAUAUUACUGGGAGAAAUAAGGAUAUCUGAGUAAAGGUUUACCAUCAGGCUUUUGAUGCCACAUGCUACUGACUCUGAGGUGCUUCUGGGCUGCUUUUCUUUUCUUUUUUUUGUGCAAUGUGUGAAUGAAUCCCUAGUUUCUGGACUUGUCUAUACCUAAAUUUCAGUGUGCCUUCAAUCACCCUCACAAGUGAAGAGAACACAUUAGCAAAUGAACAAGCUGUUUUCCUUCCAUAUUUCACACCUAGGCCGCGUUCCGACAUCGUAAAUUUAAUCCGUAUCGGAAGAGUACAAGGACUGAAUUCGUCUUCUGGUCGUUCCCACAGUUACAGUUUAAUACGGACUCAAUUCAUCCCUGCUCGUUCCCACACUGAUAUUUCCCGUGCUUGGCACGGAGAAACAGUACCUUUUCUGCCUCCACCCCUUGCCAAAUUCCCCUCCCCGUGCAGUCAGUGAUUGGCUGCAGUCCCAAUAUUCAAAUCUUGACGUCACAGGGGCGGGAAAGUCAAGCUCCGCUCUCUGUAUGUCCCCACUGCUUCCUCAGAACAUGGAUUCACUUGGCAGCGUUACUAGUCAUUCGCCAUUUGCUCCUUCUCCCCACUACAGCCUCUAUCUACACAAGCAGAACUUUAAAACUAUGUUCCAUAAGCUUUUUAAAGGGCUUUUUAAAGGGCUUUUAAAGGGCUGACGGCGAUUUCUGCUCCCUUGCAAGUGCACUUUUGUGUAUUUGCGCAAUUUAAAAGUAGUGCAAAAGCAGGGAGAGGUCUGUAACGAAGGGAAAAAGUGGGGAGUAAACGUGGGGGGGGGCUCUACUAUCUUGACAGUGCAGUUCAUCGCCAGCAAAUGGACUCUGCCUCAUCUUCCCCCGAGAUAUCCGCAGCGGCAUGUGUCCCCGCUGUGUAGCUGUGUGCUGUCGACGGCAAAACUCAUCUUGAGUGGGUUCUUUGUUGGGGCAAGAGGACUGCAACCCCAAACAGGCGGAGUUUAUUUUUUGGUUUAAAGAGUAGACGGAAGUGGAGGAAGCCUUUAAUUUCUUCCUGGCAGUGUCGAAUGGGGGAUAAAGAAAGAGAAAGGACCGCAGCUUAGGGAAGUAAAAAGGAGGACGGUUUCUGUUCCCCUGGCAGCGACGGAAGGGGGGAUAAUGGAGGCAGAGGAAACUAAUGCGCUUCCUGCCCACCCACAAAGUCUGUCAUUGGACGGCACAAAAUGGGGAUCCCUCCCUCUGCACGCCCCCAAAAAAGUACGGUCCCUCCCAAAUAGUCUCCUUCCCCGUUCCCACAUUGCAGAGUAAAGCGUGCUAACGCUCUGGAAUGGCUUGAGACUUCAUUAAAUCCAAAUACAAAGUAGUUCGGAUUUCGCCGAUAUAGUCCAGAAAAAUUACGGAACGGCAAGAUCAUGUCGGGACAGCGGGAACUGAAGACAGCCUGUAAACUGAUUAAAUGCCGUGUCGGAACGCGGCCACUUUUGGUGUGGACCUGAAGUAAAAACAAGAGGAAGAAACAAAACUGAUGGACAACAGCAUGCCAUUGCUGGGUAGCCUACUUGGAAAGAGAUGAGGCAGAAUAAACAAUGAAUGUGCUGGACA
rnacentral:lncRNA from 1 species